UACUUACUCUGAGAUCACCCGUUUGC
rnacentral:piRNA from 1 species